rnacentral:tRNA from 1 species
GCCCCGGUAGCUCAAUUGGAUAGAGCGCUGCCUUCGUAUGCUGAGGUUGCGGGUUCGAGUCCCGCCCGGGGUU